GAAAAGCAUGCAGCACCUUGUUCAAUUACUGAACAUCAUCUCUCUGGCUUGUCUUUGCUGCAGACGCCAUGUGGAGGGCAUUGGGUGUCUUCCUUGGCUUCCAGCUGCUGGCCGGUCUUUGCAGUGGGGUGACGGUGACGCAGAAGGAGAAGUUUAUAGCCAUCCAGAAUGGCCGCGAGGCAAGAAUCCCAUGUGAACAUGAUGACAAAACUUACAUUACUGUCCUGUGGUAUCAGCAGAAGGGUGCAGAAAGGCAGCUGCAGUUAGUAGCCUUCUCCGUAGAUGGGAAUCCAGCAGUAAUAGAAGAUCAGUUCAAAACCAGAUUCAAUGUGACACGGCCAGCAACACUGAACACCUCCCUGACAAUCAACCCGGGGACGGUUGAAGACACUGCAGUGUAUUUCUGUGCAGCUAGUGCUGGGGUCAGAGACCGCAUCUUGCAGUGGCCAAGAGCAGCAAUCCAGAAACCUGGGGAGGCUGUGACCAUGAGUGGUUACCAGUAUGACAUUGCUCGCACAAACAUGUAUGGUACCAGCAAACCCAGGGAGAAGGGCUGA